rnacentral:rRNA from 1 species
GACGAACGCUGGCGGCGUGCUUAACACAUGCAAGUCGAACGGAAAGGCCCUGCUUUUGUGGGGUGCUCGAGUGGCGAACGGGUGAGUAACACGUGAGUAACCUGCCCUUGACUUUGGGAUAACUUCAGGAAACUGGGGCUAAUACCGGAUAGGAGCUCCUGCUGCAUGGUGGGGGUUGGAAAGUUUCGGCGGUUGGGGAUCGACUCGCGGCUUAUCAGCUUGUUGGUGGGGUAGUGGCUUACCAAGGCUUUGACGGGUAGCCGGCCUGAGAGGGUGACCGGCCACAUUGGGACUGAGAUACGGCCCAGACUCCUACGGGAGGCAGCAGUGGGGAAUAUUGCACAAUGGGCGGAAGCCUGAUGCAGCAACGCCGCGUGCGGGAUGACGGCCUUCGGGUUGUAAACCGCUUUCGCCUGUGACGAAGCGUGAGUGACGGUAAUGGGUAAAGAAGCACCGGCUAACUACGUG